ACAGUUAUGUGAAACAAAAGAGGGAGGAGAGGCGCGCCGUAGCAGGUGGGGCUGCCCAGCGUGUUGCCGUCGGCGCCCCACACCCCACGCACCAUCGACGCCGGUAGGGGUUGCCUGCGUGCCCCUCAGAGAGAGAGAGAGAGCACUAGAGUGGAGAGGGAGGCAUGACUCCAUAUCGCGACUCUGAGGCCACAUUGUCGGCUCAGUGGGAGGAAUGUAAAACACUUAGAUGUAUGAAUUAACAUCAUCACAUACUAGCAGAAAUGUAAAACUAUAUAUGAAAUCACUUGUAUAAAAAAGUAAAAAUAAAAAAUG
rnacentral:lncRNA from 1 species